rnacentral:rRNA from 1 species
UACGUAGGUGGCAAGCGUUGUCCGGAUUUAUUGGGUUUAAAGGGUGCGUAGGCGGCCCUGUAAGUCAGUGCUGAAAUAUCCCGGCUUAACCGGGAGGGUGGCAUUGAUACUGCAGGGCUUGAGUACAGAUGAAGUAGGCGGAAUUGACGGUGUAGCGGUGAAAUGCAUAGAUAUCGUCAAGAACACCGAUAGCGAAAGGCAGCUUACUAAGCUGUAACUGACGCUGAGGCACGAAAGUGUGGGGAUCAAACAGG